AGAGAGGAGCAUGAACUGGAGCAAGAGGAGUAUAUAAAGGAGUACAAGGAACACGAGUACACAAGGCUUUCAUAUUAUAAAUGCAGAAUAUGCUCUGCAGAGAUCUACCUUGCAGUUGAUGAUAUUAGUAAACAUGUUCUACACGAGCACAGUACAUCUAUGGAGGAUUAUAUUGCUGAGUUUGAUGGGUUUGAGCCGAGAUUUAUGACUCAGAGUAUUACAAGUUUAAUAUCCAGGAAAG